AUUUGUAAUGCAAUCAUUUUCCCCAUCCGUUCUACAAGGAUAAUAAAUUGCUUUAAGAUCUAAAUCCACAUUUAUGGAUAUUAAUAUUGGCGUUGGUGUUUACACAGGGAAUUGUUAUAUACAUGAACGAUAUUUCAUCUAACAGUGAGACGGUCGGUGGGAACAGCAGACUACGGUUGGCAGAAACGUCUGCGAGGGGCGAUUUUGAGAACCAGCAUGAUGGUCUUGUCCAUUAUCUUUGUCUGCCUUGGCAUUUUUGCUGCGAUACCCGGAACACGGUAUGUAAUUGUAUUCUCAUUUUAAGGAAAAAAAAGAGACGCGUACAUAAGAAGGAAUGAAAAAGUGUAUAUGCAUGGCAUUGAAAAUAUAUAAAAUAGUUAACAGUGCACCAUCCCCUUAAUUGUAAUUGUAAUGACUUUGCGUGGCUGAAGAGGACAUGAGCUAUAUGUAUCGCCACGCCAAAUUGUAUACAAAAUAAAUAAACAGACAGAUAUUGUACCAAUUGCUUAAGAACUAUGUAUAUUAGCCCCUGAUUUGCAUGAUUUAUGUCUAACAUGUUGAAUGUUUAACUUAAUUCAACUUUUACAUGAGGCAGGCAUGGAUUUAUCAUCAUUUUAAAACUGAAUAACUCAUUUCUCAACCAUGCAAAUUUGUAUAAAAUAUAAUUUGGUAUCUCUGUCAAUUUCAGUUAAAGACAGUUACGGACAUUGUAGGGAACCUAUUUCAACACUCCAGCGGAAAAAAAUAAAAAUAGUCAGCAUUUUCUUUUGGAUGAUGUAAUAUAGGAAUUAACACAACAGUAACAAGACAUACAUUCUACAUGUGAAUGGGUGUUUGUUUUCGUCACACAGUUAGCUUCUACAUGAUGUGCUUUUACUGACGUUCUUCCUUUCAGAUGCUCUCAAUGUUUUGUACCGUACCAGUGUUCAUACGCACAGAGCUAUUUCCACCAGUUUUCCAUACCCUGCGGAUUUUUAGGAUGGGGCAGAUGUACCAGAUACAGGACCCAAUAUACCACAGGGUACAGAACGUGCCACAGAUGCUGCCCUGGAUACCAAGGUACCGACUGUACAG